rfam:Melipona quadrifasciata isolate 0111107301 unplaced genomic scaffold scaffold86, whole genome shotgun sequence.
CAAUCGGCCCUUUUUAGGGCCACCACGUUUUUUUAACAUGUAUAA